AUCGCGCUACUUGGGCGGUGGCUUCUAUAUUCGUCUGUUUUCCACUAUAACUCAGUCAAUCUUGAACCAAUUGACACAAUUCUUGGAAUGCGGUGAGAUAGGUAUAGUAUCUACCCGUGUACAAAAUUUCAAGUCAAUCGGUUCAAAAUUGACCGAGUUACAGUGGAAAACAGACGAAAAUAACAGACGAAGAAAACCACCGCCCAAGUAGCGCGAUACCCUAUAUCAAAUAGUAACAGUAUGGCAUAGAGCUUGUUGACGUUUAUUCUCUUUCAAACAUGCAGGCGGAAUAGGAUUUGUUGUCAUCAGGAAAGGUUUCCCGAUGAAAACAAAUCCUCCCGCCUGCAAGCUUGAAAGAGAGAGAUGAAUAAACGUCAGCAAGCUCUAUAGUAUACAUGCACUGUUAAAUAAUAUGGGGAUAGAAGUCGCUCUAAAUUGUAGCAACAUAAACUCACCUUAUAACAUAUGGUUAGCUUUCAUAUUUGAGAAACGCACUCACACCUGUGUGUUUCACUGUGCACAACAUUUGCUUAACAGUUUGGCAAAUUGUAGCGCUCAUUAGUAGUAGUGAGCGGCAUAAUUGACAACAAACCGCACUUCUUUUUUAUCGAGCAGCAGCAGACGACCAAUUUAAUGUAAAAUAAUUUCUACAAAAUCCGGCCUAAUCAGCUCCAAAUUAGGAAUCUUCGUGAAAGCGCAGAGAGGAUUUGCCGGAGCGAAAACCUGGAUCACAAGCUUACAUCCUCGAAGGAAAAUGCCACACAUCGGCUGGAGGAACUCAGAAUGUGCUGCAGACGUACCAGCAGGAUACACGGCGAUUAGAAAUCCGCUCACAACGCAGGAAGUUUUAAUCGCCGCUACCGGGUGUACGAUAGGUAACCUCGCGAGUGGAGGAAUUUCAGCAGCCCUCGAAAUGGCCCGAGAUGCUUCUCCUUCAAUGCAGAUUACGCUGCUCGAUAUGAUGCGAGGAGGUCUUGCGAGAAAGGUAAACCAUCUUUUUCAUCCACAAAUAUAAUGAUAAAUAUUAGUUGAAUAAAAACAUAUCCGGUGAACGCACAACCGCCCUUUUAUUUUUUAACGGUUCAAAUGCACAAGACCCAAAGUCCAAAUAAAGUCGUAGCACUCGGGCUCAGACUGGGUACCAACUCUAGUACUUCAUUUGGUCCCCGGUACCCAAAUUUGACAUUUGACUGAAUACCUCAUUUUAUAUUAACAUUGUUUAAGUAUGCUAUGACAAUGAACCGAGCCCAACACUGAAUCCAAUGUCAAAUUUCAAAUUCGUGUGUUGUCACACCGUUGUGUGUUGUUCUUUGUUAGUUUUGUCCACAACCAGAGGGAGGGCUCCAUCCACGCAAGCUUUUUGGUGUGGGGGUCAGUAAAAAUACUAUUUUUUUUACUGAAACAUAAAUUUUGACCAUUUUGACUUAGAAAAGUACGGCCAAAGAUCCGGCUGGUCACAGCACAGCCACGGCCGCUUUCGAAGUGGAUAGUCAUGACCAUAAUGUGUCUCUCGUGUCCCAGAGCGUAAAACAGGGGGAAUUUUUUUGGUGGAGUUUUCCUAAAUUACCAGGAGUAUUUAAUUAACGUAAUGGACGAUUUAUUGUGCGGAAAGAAGAAAAUGUGAGUUAUUCAGAGAUGCGGCCGCGGUCGUCAGGCCAGAGAGUUGCUGUAGCAAAAUUGAGGAGUGAUCGGUAUGGGCAAUGACCAUAGCGCAUUCGUACAUCGACCAGAAUUGCUGGGUCGCGGCCAAAAAUCGAAACAACAGCUAUCGAUGCAUCGAGGAGCGACGGUCACCGGCCAUAGAUGAUAGGAAAGCGGCCGGAAAGGCCGGCAACUGUAGUUAAUCCGGAGGCGGUUGGAAUGGCCGGCAACUAUAAAGCAUUCGUACUUGGCCAAUUUGCGUUCAGAAAACCGCAUGGCUGACGACUGUGAAUAAUCAGGAACCGUUUCCGUUUCCUAAAAUAAAAUAAAAAUAAAUGUUUAAAUGUUGGAAGAAAAUGGUCAUUUAAUACGCUACCCACCAGAGUCUGAAUUUUUCGUGUUUAUAUUUGUAUAAACAAGAGAUUGUUACCCAAAGCAACAUUAGCGGAGUACAAGGUAACAUUAUACUAAGGUAUUAUAUCUUUUUGAUCUAGUACUUCAUGAACCCCGAAAUUUCACACUAAUGUAUGGGAGUUCGACGACUUAAUUUGGACUUUGCAAGACCCAUAUAUCAAAAGCUUAAAAAACCAUGGAAAACCAUAAAUCAAUAAUAACACAUACAGUGUUCGUUUUUCUCCCAGAUUUAUUGUUAAACUGCUCUCUAACCAUUUUCUAUACAGUGAAUUGUCUGAAAAACUGGACAAUAUAUUGACCGUAUUCUUUACUGUAUUGCGAAAAAUUUGUUCGAGAAAACGAGCGAUUUUUUAUGGUAACCAAUCUUAACCGCCUAUUCCACAUACUGUAAAUUGGCAGAUAACCAUUUGUCAAACUGGCAAAUAUGUACCUGGAAUGGUUAGCUUACUGUUAUCUACAAUAGUAUGAGAAAUGGUUAAAUGACAAUUGCUAAUGGUCAUCUACAGUAUGAGAAACGUUGCAUUUACAGUUUGUGAUUAUGCGGGAUUAUUUAAUAUAUCUGGCGUUCUAUUUGAAUAGGUCGAAUCUACAUAGGGAUCACAGCAAACUUAGGACCUAUUCAAAUCGAACGCCUGAUAUAUUUGAUUAUUGUCAUUUGCAAUGGAUCAUGCAAUGCCGAGUGCAAUGCAAUGGAUCAUUGCAAUGAAGAAAACUAUUUUAGCAUUCGUCGUGUCGCCAAAGUCCAAAUAAAGUCGUUCAACUCCCAUACAUUGGUGUGAAAUUUCGAGGUUCAUGAAGUACUAGACCAAAAAAAUAUAAUACCUGCGUAUAAUGAUACCUUGCGCGCUUCUGCAAAUUGAAUAUCUAGUACUCCACUAAUGUUGCUAUGAGUAACUACUGUUCAAACAAAUAUAAACAAGAAAAAAUCAAUCUCCGGAAAAGGAAGUAUUUAACUGUUAGAAAAUUGGAAGCAUCCUUCAUCAGCCUUCGUUGUGCAACUUUGGUAACGAGUCCUCGUCGUCGUCAAUUAUGAGAGCGUCCCUUGGAGUGUCCUUAAUCGAAAAUCCAAUUCCAACUCCCAGGCCAAAAAGUGUAACGAACCCAAUGAGACCCCCACCGACUUACCACCCCGUCGCCCCGUUUACCAGCCUGACGAUGUCACCGUUCCUAUCUCCAACGUCGCUAUUCCUAUUCCCCCCCAUCGUCCGGACGGGGCCCCGUUCUUGCUUGAUCCAAGCGUUACCGGCCGGCCAAACACUCUACAUAAUAGUGUAGAAUUAGUUUUAAAAGUUAAAAUAUACAUUAAUAUAAUUUAGAAAAAAAAACUACACGAACACACCCUAGGUAUGUUUGUUAAUAAAUGAAUGAGAAAAAGUAAUCCCACGCGUUUGAAUUUAUGAUUCGUGGACGAAAACCGUAUUGGGAGCUGGACCUCUAGAGCUGAUCCUCUGAAGCUCAAACUAGUUGUCCCUUGUAAAGAGCUCAGAUUAUACCUAGCAUGAGAGUCUUUAGAGAGUUGAGACAACGCAAGAGUUUGACAUGUUGCAUUCAGUGUUGAUAUCUACGUUGGUUGUCAUAGGUUACUAAAGAACAAGUUCAAUAAAAAUGAGGUAUACAGUCAAAUGUCAAACUUGGGUACCGGGGACCAAAUGCAGUACUAGAAUUGGUACCCAGUCUGAGCCCGAGUGCUACGACUUUAUUUGGACUUUGGUGUCGCCGUUAGUACACAGGGUCAAAUAUUUAACAAGGAAAGAACUCAAGAAAUAACAUCAGUUUGACACUGAUGAAAAUUCGAUCAAGUCAAACAAGAUAUUGGAGCAUUUUGGUAUUUGGAAAGUGAGAAUACAGUCAUGACUCGCUGGUUGGGGGCUUAAUAGUUGGGUGGCUUUUUAGUUGGGGCCCCGUUAGUUGAGCUGUCAGCCAACUAAAAAGUACCUGGAUGUCAUAAUUCAAUGUCAAACUGAAAAUGACAACCAAUCUGUAAUUCCGAGGGGCGAGCUAAUGAGUUUUUGGUUACUUAAACUUUACUGAUAAUCGAGAAGAAAUUCUAUUUCAUAUUUCUUAAAAAUAAAAAAAUAUGUACAAUUACUUCGAAACAAAUGCAAAACAUCGGCAAUCUUUAUUUUGUCAAUCAUUGAAAGUGUUUUGUGCUUGCUUUUGGUCCGGGUGGUUUCAUAAACAUCUAUAUUUUCACUUCACCGACUGAAAAUGGGUGAAAAUAAUUAUUUCUCGCAUUGGCCAUAUAUUUAUCUUGCAAAACGUAUCAAUUUUGCUCUAAAUGUAAAACAAAUUGAAACAUUUUCCUUUUUGCUUCCAACCUAAACAUGAUUUAAAAAAAAACAAUGCGCACACCCCUUGUGCUACUGUCACUUCACCCAACUAGCGAAUCGAAUUCGUUGGUUGGGUGGAGGUUGUGGCUCAACGAGCGGGUUCCGACUGUAUUUCAUGAUGGCCCAGGGGGAAUGACACUUCCUUUGCUAACCGGAAAAAUCCGCAUUUUAUCCGUUGCUAACCGUACAGGUAAAUGCGGAUUUCCCGGUUAGAAAAGGAUAUGUCAUUCCCCCUGUAUAUUUCACA